AUUAAUAUCUAUGGAAUAGGAGGCCUUACUCGUAUCGUCCAUGCUUCUCUAUCUCAAGGCUCCUAUGACCUCACAUCGUCGAUGGUAAGAGCACGCUUCAGGGUCCAGAAUACGGUAGUUGCCAGAUCUCACACGCGAGAAAUGCCGAAAACAAAGGUUUAUUUACACGGUAUAUAGUCAGACACAAUAACUCGGCAAUAAACCUGGGGAAUGCAUGCGCAUUUAAAAUCUACCCAUGUACGAGUAUGGGUCGUACAUUAGCCUCAUUUGAGGCACGAGAGCUCUAGCCGCAUGGCAAGGCCAGCCUCCGAGCCCUCUCUACAGCUUCCAUGACUCAUGUUUUGGCACAGGGCUGUAUGUCGCAGGUGGCAAGCGUGGUAGUUUGAGAUUCAGCCCCAGCAAUGUUGGCUACUGCCAGGGGAAAGUCCGGAAAUUCUCUGGCAUGGACUCAAUUGCCGCUCUUCCUUUACCUAUGCUAUUCUCUCUAAGUGAACAUGUUCCCAUUGUCAAUUCUCCGGGCAAAAGGAGUAUGGCUCUUUAAGCAUGGAAACUUGAGUCAUGGCACUAUUCCGAAGCUCGAGUGAGCCCAGCCCUUGGGGGAGAUUUCAAAGGGACAAUUGUCAGAUACUGACCGAAGACUGUUGGUAAAGAAAGAUAUCCCAGGAGAUAGAAGAUCAAGACCUUCAAGUUUACUUAUAC
rnacentral:lncRNA from 1 species